UACGUAGGGGGCUAGCGUUAUCCGGAAUUACUGGGCGUAAAGGGUGCGUAGGUGGUUUCUUAAGUCAGGGGUGAAAGGCUACGGCUCAACCGUAGUAAGCCUUUGAAACUGGGAAACUUGAGUGCAGGAGAGGAGAGUGGAAUUCCUGGUGUAGCGGUGAAAUGCGCAGAUAUCGGGAAGAACACCCGUGGCGAAGGCGGCUCUCUGGGACGGUACUGACGCUGAGACGCGAAAGCGUGGGGAGCGAACAGG
rnacentral:rRNA from 1 species